CUAGGCCGAAACUCUGCGGAUCUAUUUCUCAAAUCCUUAUCAAGCCCAACACCUGCUUUCCUGCUUUCUCUUCGUCCCAUAGCAAGCUAAUUAAGAAGCAGCAGCAAGAAGACGAUAUUUAGGCGCCGAUCUUGUGUGUUUCGCUCCCACAAAAUCCAUCCUCGUAAUCGCGCUGUAGUUUUAUUUUCUUUCACGAGUUCUACCAGAGGAUCUCCAGUAUCGACUGCAAUUCCCACUGCAGCUUGCGGAUUCUUCACCACUUUUUCGCUGGCAUGUAUCGGAGCAUCAAAGCACCAUUCUUGCUACAGAGAGGAUUGCAUACAAUAGAUGGUCCUACUGAAACCUUGAAGAGUAAGAUUGUUGAGUUGAAGAAGAUGAGGAAAAGGAGGAAGCCCGAAAAGGAUCAGUUCCUUGUGGAGGUUCCGGAAUCGAAGUCCUUCCUUGACACAGCAACACUUCCAAUGGUUCUUACUGUUGCUGGUGUUGCACUUUUUGCAAAGCUGCUUAUGAUGCAUGAUGAUUCCAAAUCCCAAGAAAUGAUUGAACGCAAAAUAAAAAAUGCUCCUGCUGGUCAAGGCACAGUGAGAAUGCUCACUCGUGAGGAGUGGGAGGAAUUUCGAGAAGUAAGGCCAAGGACUCCUUUUGAAUCUAAGCUUGCUCGUCCAAAUGCACGAAUAAGAACUGGAGAACCAGUGCGGAUGGUCCUGCAGAAACUCAAUAUCUUCAUUGCAUAGGAUUGAAAUAUAAAUUUAUCAUCAUAAAUGGAGUUGUCCGUGAAGCCUUUUGCAAUUGACAUAUAUAUGAAGCUGCAGAAUCAUUUUGAUUACAAAAAGAAGAUCAAUCAGAGGAUUUGAAAGAUUGGACAAUAGAUGUUCUAACAAAUGCACUUACACGGGCUGAAGAAAGUGUUAGGCACGGCUCUAAGUAGUUCCUAUGAAAAUAAAUUUUCCUGGAGCAGAGUAAAAUAUGUGCAAGAUAUUUGCCUGAUGUAGAUGAUUUCCUCAUGGCAACUUGCGGAUAGGUUGGUAAGGCAUUGAAUUGGCAACUAUUUUGGUAUAAAAGCUUUGGCAAGCUGCUGGAUUUCAUAGUAAUGUGUACCCAGUAAUCAGUCCCGUGGACUUUGUUGAUCUAGAAAGUCAAUCCUGAGCUUCUUGAUUCUCUUCAUUGAAAUAAGAGCAUAGUUUAUUUUUCUGUUGUCCCUCAUAAUUAGUACGUAGGACCAGCAGAUAGUUUUUGCGGCAAUUAUCUUGCUGUUACCAGCACUUGAGUAAUCGACUUGUAAGCUACAUUACAUAAAUUUAUAGGCUGAUAAUCAGUUAUAUUUUCAGGCCUUUCACUUUAGGUGGUAUACCGACUUCAAAUGUAGCGAAGACUAUCUUCGUUUUGUUAACAGAAACUUUGAAUAAUCAUAAUAUAUU